rnacentral:rRNA from 1 species
AUAAAUUAAAUGGCCGCGGUAUUUUGACCGUGCAAAGGUAGCAUAAUCGUUAGUUUUUUAAUUGGAAUCUUGUAUGAAUGGUUGGACAAAAGAAAAUCUGUCUUUAUAUUAUUUAUUGAAUUUAACUUUUAAGUGAAAAGGCUUAAAUAAAUUAAAGGGACGAUAAGACCCUAUAAAGCUUAAUAUUAAAAUUUUAUUUAGUUGAAUUUUUUAUUAUAAAAACUUAGUAAUUAAAUUUAUUUUAUUGGGGCGAUAAGAGUAAAAUGGUCAUUAACUGCUUAACUUUUUAUACACUUAUAAGUGAUUAAUUUUUUAAAUGAUCCUAAGUAAAGAUUAAAAGUUUAAGUUACUUUAGGGAUAACAGCGUUAUUUUUCUUAAGAGUACUUAUCGAAAGAAAAGUUUGCGACCUCGAUGUUGAAUUAAAAUGUCUUUAUAAUAGCAGCAGUUAUAAAAGUAGGUCUGUUCGACCUUUAAAAUUUUACAUGAUUUGAGUUCAGACCGGCGUGAG